AAAGCCCUUUCGGGGGUAAGUAGAGUGGCGUCCGGGUGAGUAACACGUGGGUUAUCUGCCUUCGGGUGGGGAAUAACCCAGGGAAACUUGGGCUAAUACCGCAUAAUGCAGCGGCACCUAAUGGUGAUUAGUUGUUAAAGCGGGGGAUCGCAAGACCUCGCGCCUGAAGAGGAGCCUGCGGCAGAUUAGCUAGUUGGUGAGGUAAUGGCUCACCAAGGCUGCGAUCUGUAGCUGGUCUGAGAGGACGGCCAGCCACACUGGCACUGACACACGGGCCAGACUCCUACGGGAGGCAGCAGUGGGGAAUUUUGGGCAAUGGGCGAAAGCCUGACCCAGCAACGCCGCGUGAGGGAGGAAAUCCUUCGGGAUGUAAACCUCACAAGCAAGGGAAGAGAGCUAUGGGCUGAAUAAUCCCGUAGUGCGACGGUACCUUGCGUAAGCCACGGCUAACUACGUGCCAGCAGCCGCGGUAAUACGUAGGUGGCAAGCGUUGUUCGGAAUUAUUGGGCGUAAAGGGCGCGUAGGCGGUUUGUUAAGUCGGCUGUGAAAGCCCGGGGCUCAACCCCGGAGGGUCAGCCGAUACUGGCAGACUAGAGUACGGAAGAGGUAGCUGGAAUUCCCGGUGUAGCGGUGAAAUGCGUAGAUAUCGGGAGGAACACCUGAGGCGAAGGCGGGCUACUGGGCCGAUACUGACGCUGAUGUGCGAAAGCCAGGGGAGCGAACGGGAUUAGAUACCCCGGUAGUCCUGGCCCUAAACGAUGGACACUUGGUGUGUCGGGUAUUCCAGUCCCGAUGUGCCGGAGCUAACGCGUUAAGUGU
rnacentral:rRNA from 1 species